GGGGUUGUAGCUCAGUGGUAGAGCACCUGCCUCGCGUGUGAGGCACUGGGUUCGAUUCUCAGCACCACA
rnacentral:tRNA from 1 species